rnacentral:snRNA from 1 species
AUCGCUUCUCGGCCUUUUGGCUAAGAUCAAGUGUAAAAAGCUGGGAAAAAAUAGUUUGUGUUUGAAAUAAUUGGGUUAUGGAUAUUUUAUUACAUUUACAAUCGACUAUGCUUUCAUGUUAAUUAUUGUGCAUACUUUGAGAUGCUCUUCUUCAAAAGCAGAAAUAUU